rnacentral:rRNA from 1 species
GCCUAACGUCUAGCCCGCACCACUCGCAUGAUACCCCUCCCCACCCCCCUCCCCAACAAAACAUUUUAUCCCUUUAGUACAGGCGAUCGAAAAACUUUUAGGCGCUUCAGAUUUAGUACCGCAAGGGAACGAUGAAAUAAAAAUGAAAUAACUCUAAAGCCCUAGACAGCAGAGACUCCCCCUCGUACCUUUUGCAUCAUGGUCUAGCUAGUCUAACCAAGCAAAACGCGAACUUUAGUUUGUCAUCCCGAAACUAAGUGAGCUACUUCAAAACAGCCUUAAGGGGCCAACCCGUCUCUGUCGCAAAAGAGUGGGAAGAUUUUCAAGUAGAGGUGACAAGCCUACCGAACUUAGAGAUAGCUGGUUAUUCAGGAGAAGAGUCUUAGCUCUGCCUUAAGUUUUCUUAUUAAUCUAAACAAAUCUUUAAACUUAAGAGUUAUUCUAGCAAGGGUCAGCUUACUUGAAACAAGAGCCAACCUCAAAUAUCGGGUAAAUAAGGGAAAACUAAAAAAAAGUGGGGGCUAAGAGCAGCCACCUUCUAAAAAGCGUUAAAGCUUAAAUACCUAUAUACCCGCGAGAUUCCUAAAAUCCUUAUUAACCCCCCCCCCC